rnacentral:rRNA from 1 species
AGAGCGAACGCUGGCGGCGUGCUUAACACAUGCAAGUCGAACGCGCAGCAUUCUGUAGCAAUACAGGGUGUGGGCGCGUGGCGAACGGGUGCGUAACACGUGGAUAACCUUCCUUCAGGUGGGGAAUAACCCAGUGAAAUUGGGCUAAUACCGCAUAACAAAACGAUGAGACAUCUUGUUGUUUUCAAAGGCGCAAGUCGCCAGAAGAGGGAUCCGCGGCCGAUUAGCUUGUUGGCGAGGUAAUGGCUCACCAAGGCAAUGAUCGGUAGCCGGACUGAGAGGUUGGCCGGGCCACACUGGAACUGAGACACGGUCCAGACUCCUACGGGAGGCAGCAGUGGGGAAUCUUGCACAAUGGGCGAAAGCCUGAUGCAGCAACGCCGCGUGGGGGAUGAAGCUUCUCGGAGUGUAACCCCUUUCGACCCGGAAGAAGCCCGCAAGGGUUUGACGGUACGGGUAUAAGAAGCCCCGGCUAACUACGUGCCAGCAGCCGCGGUAA